ACAAGAAGGCUGUUUUUACAUGAAUCAAUAAGAGGAUGUUUGUUGUCCUUUUGAAAUGGUAGUAGUUUACCCAAGGGAAGGGCAACACCUGAGGGCCUAGGAUUUCAUCACUGACGGCAGGUUGUCAUAAAUGACUACAGAUGGAAUUUUGUAGCAUCCUAACACACCUACCCAUGCCAUUAGCCAGCUGUACACAACAGUUACUACAUUACUCUACGUUAUGGCACCCCAUUCAAUGAUUUAUAUCAGGCCAAUAAUACAUAACUUGGUUAAUUACUUAGGAGGACGUGGUGCCACUUACACAGUCAACCUUAAGUGCCUCUUGCACCAUCUAAUUCUGACAAGCAUUGGUAUACUCUUGGUUCCUGUAUGGUCAUAUGGCAUAGGCUGCUGCUAAUCUGUUGUUUCUGAUGAAAACAGUCAUGUGGAACAAGGAUGACAAUGUAUCAUGGAUUUUGGGGAAGAACCUUUUCAGGAAGUUGGAAAUGGAGACAUGACUUCCCCACUGGGGCCAUAAAGGACUGCAGGUGCUUCCCUUCGACAGGCCUGUGAAAUAGCAGCUAGUCUACUGGGCGAAACAGAAGUGGCAUUAAGCAGCUAUACAUCUUCACUACCUGCAAUAAAGCAUUAUUUUAUUUAUUUAUUUUUU